GUUUGAUCCUGGCUCGGAUGAACGCUAGCGGCAGGCCUAAUACAUGCAAGUCGAACGGAUCUGGAGACUUCGGUUUCCAGGUUAGUGGCGCACGGGUGCGUAACGCGUAUGCAACCUACCUUUUAUUGGGGGAUAGCCCGUCGAAAGACGGAUUAAUACCGCAUAAGAUCACUUGAGGGCAUCUGAGGGUGAUUAAAGCCACGGCGAUAGAAGAUGGGCAUGCGUGACAUUAGCUGGCUGGUGCAGGUAACGGCUCACCAAGGCGACGAUGUCUAGGGGUUCUGAGAGGAUGAUCCCCCACACUGGUACUGAGAUACGGACCAGACUCCUACGGGAGGCAGCAGUAGGGAAUAUUGGGCAAUGGACGCAAGUCUGACCCAGCCAUGCCGCGUGCAGGAUGAAGGCCUUCUGGGUUGUAAACUGCUUUUAUCUGGGAAGAAAACACCCUUGCGAGGGGAACUGACGGUACCAGAUGAAUAAGCACCGGCUAACUCCGUGCCAGCAGCCGCGGUAAUACGGAGGGUGCAAGCGUUGUCCGGAUUUAUUGGGUUUAAAGGGUGCGUAGGCGGCCAGGUAAGUCAGUGGUGAAAGCCCAUCGCUCAACGAUGGAACUGCCAUUGAUACUGCCGGGCUUGAGUACAGACGAGGUAGGCGGAAUUGAUAGUGUAGCGGUGAAAUGCAUAGAUACUAUCAAGAACACCGAUUGCGUAGGCAGCUUACUAGGCUGUAACUGACGCUGAGGCACGAAAGCGUGGGGAGCGAACAGGAUUAGAUACCCUGGUAGUCCACGCUGUAAACGAUGAUUACUCGAUGUUGGCGAUAAACAGUCAGCGUCUUAGCGAAAGCGUUAAGUAAUCCACCUGGGGAGUACGCCCGCAAGGGUGAAACUCAAAGGAAUUGACGGGGGCCCGCACAAGCGGUGGAGCAUGUGGUUUAAUUCGAUGAUACGCGAGGAACCUUACCUAGGCUAGAAUGCGCGUGACCGCUCCAGAGAUGGAGCUUCCCUUCGGGGCACAAAGCAAGGUGCUGCAUGGCCGUCGUCAGCUCGUGCCGUGAGGUGUUGGGUUAAGUCCCGCAACGAGCGCAACCCAAUCU
rnacentral:rRNA from 1 species